ACGGGAGGCAGCAGUGGGGAAUAUUGCACAAUGGGGGAAACCCUGAUGCAGCGACGCCGCGUGAGUGAAGAAGUUAUUCGUGAUGUAAAGCUCUAUCAGCAGGGAAGAAAAUGACGGUACCUGACUAAGAAGCCCCGGCUAACUACGUGCCAGCAGCCGCGGUAAUACGUAGGGGGCAAGCGUUAUCCGGAUUUACUGGGUGUAAAGGGAGCGUAGACGGUCAGGCAAGUCUGAUGUGAAAGGCAGGGGCUCAACUCCUAGACUGCAUUGGAAACUGUCAGUCUUGAGUGCCGGAGAGGUAAGCGGAAUUCCUAGUGUAGCGGUGAAAUGCGUAGAUAUUAGGAGGAACACCAGUGGCGAAGGCGGCUUACUGAACGGUAACUGACGUUGAGGCUCGAAAGCGUGGGGAGCAAACAGGAUUAGAUACCCUGGUA
rnacentral:rRNA from 1 species